AACGAACGCUGGCGGCAUGCCUAACACAUGCAAGUCGAACGAGACCUUCGGGCCUAGUGGCGCACGGGUGCGUAACGCGGGGGAACCUGCCCUUAGGUUCGGAAUAACUCCCCGAAAGGGGUGCUAAUACCGGUUAAUGUCAUCGGACCAAAGAUUUAUCGCCAUGGGAUGGGCCCGCGUUGGAUUAGCGAGUUGGUAGGGUAAAAGCCUACCAAGGCGAGGAUCCAGAGCUGGUCGGGGAGGAGGACCAACCGCACUGGGGAUGAGACACGGCCCAGACUCGUACGGAAGGGAGGAGUAGGGAAUAUUAGGCAAGGGGCGAAAGCCUGAUAAAGCCAUGCCGCGUAAGUGAUGAAGGCCUUAGGGUUGUAAAGCUCUUUUACCCGGGAUGUUAAUGACAGUACCGGGAGAAUAAGCACCGGCUAACUACGUG
rnacentral:rRNA from 1 species